rnacentral:misc_RNA from 1 species
AAAUCUUCAAAGUAAAUCUUUUGUUAACUCAAUUGGUUUCUACUUUGGUAUUGGAGGUCUUUGCAGCUUCACACCUGCUCCUCUUUGUGUAUUAGCUGGAUCUCAGUGUUAUGCUUGGUUCCACUCAGCGUGAUAAAUUAUCUAUCGCUGAGGACACUGUAAAAAGUGGCCAAGGUAAAUGCAGAUGAACCGCUUCUAAUAGUCCAUUGACUUGGACACUAUUUUUAUG